rnacentral:rRNA from 1 species
UACGUAGGGGGCAAGCGUUGUCCGGAAUCAUUGGGCGUAAAGAGCGUGUAGGCGGCCCGAUAAGUCCGCUGUGAAAGUCCAGGGCUCAACCCUGGGAUGCCGGUGGAUACUGUCGGGCUCGAGUCCAGUAGGGGAGUGCGGAAUUCCCGGUGUAGCGGUGAAAUGCGCAGAUAUCGGGAGGAACACCAGCGGCGAAGGCGGCACUCUGGGCUGGUACUGACGCUCAGGAGCGAAAGCGUGGGUAGCGAACAGG